rnacentral:rRNA from 1 species
GACGAACGCUGGCGGCGUGCUUAACACAUGCAAGUCGAACGGAAAGGCCCUGCUUGCAGGGUACUCGAGUGGCGAACGGUGAGUAACACGUGGGUGAUCUGCCCUGCACUUCGGGAUAAGCCUGGGAAACUGGGUCUAAUACCGGAUAGGAGCCAUUUUUAGUGUGAUGGUUGGAAGGUUUUUCGGUGUAGGAUGAGCUCGCGGCCUAUCAGCUUGUUGGUGGGGUAAUGGCCUACCAAGGCGGCGACGGGUAGCCGGCCUGAGAGGGUGGACGGCCACAUUGGGACUGAGAUACGGCCCAGACUCCUACGGGAGGCAGCAGUGGGGAAUAUUGCACAAUGGGCGCAAGCCUGAUGCAGCGACGCCGCGUGGGGGAUGACGGCCUUCGGUUGGUAAACUACCUUUCGUCUAGGACGAAGCUUUUGUGACGGUACCUAGAUAAGAAG